rnacentral:rRNA from 1 species
UACAGAGGGUGCAAGCGUUGUCCGGAUUUACUGGGCGUAAAGCGCGCGCAGGCGGCAUACCAAGUAUUCAGUGAAAUCUCCCUGCUCAACGGGGAGGGUGCUGAGUAGACUGGUAAGCUAGAGGACGGUAGAGGGGGGUAGAAUUGCUGGUGUAGCGGUGAAAUGCGUAGAUAUCGGAAGGAACAUCAGUGGCGAAAGCGGCUUCCUGGACCAGUACCGACGUUCAGGCACGAAAGCGUGGGGAGCAAACAGG